GCCCUUAUAGCUCAAUGGAUAGAGCAUCGGCCUUCUAAGCCGAGGAUGCAGGUUCGAUUCCUGCUGAGGGUACCA
rnacentral:tRNA from 1 species